AGAGUUUGAUCAUGGCUCAGAACUAACGCUGGCGGCGUGCCUAACACAUGCAAGUCGAGCGGUCACCACUUUGUAGCAAUACAGAUGAAGUGAUAGCGGCAGACGGGUGAGUAACACGUAGGCAAUCUACCUUUCCGUUCGGGAUAACUAGCCGAAAGGUUAGCUAAUACCUGAUACGAUCACGAAGCGGCAUCGCUUCG
rnacentral:rRNA from 1 species